rnacentral:pre_miRNA from 2 species
UAAGUACUCCCUCCAUCCAAAAAUUCUUCGGUGCUAUUUGUUUAGAUACGAAUGUAUCUAGUCAAAUUUAGUAUUUAGAUACAUCAAUUUCUAGGCAAAGCUAAGACAAUAAUUUUGGGACGGAGGGAGUGUCAU